AUUUACAAUUGUACUUACUUCUUUUAUUCACCUAAUCUAUUUGGAUGUUGUAUAACUGCUAAAUCACGUUCACAAUUACCGUAAAUCUAUUAUCUUAGAUUUAACUUUAGUGAAAUAUGCAUAUAGAUAAUAACAAAUUUUAAGUUGAUUUUCAAUAUUUAAAUUUGUCAUGUUGUAUUAUAGAUUUUUUCGCAAAUUGAAGAGUUUAAUUUUAAUAAUACAAAACAUUAUUAAUAAACUCACCUCUGGCCUUCAUUACUUUUGGGUUUGUUGCUAUUUGUGCUUAGAUCUAAAACAAUGAGCAUAAACCAGAUUACUUUCAUUCUGUUGGAGUUCGAGGGACAUCAAAUUUUAGAAUUUGGUUUAGUUUGGCUUGAUCCUAAUACAAUGAAUGUCACUAACAAGUGGAAGAUUUCAUCAAACUAGAUGAUGAUUUGGUUCUCAAUAACUUUAUGGAUCGACCAAGCGGUAUCACUCGCAGAGAUCUCGAACUCGCGAAGAAUUGUUGUCAAACCUACAAGGGUAUAUAUAUUUGUCUCAAUGGUUAGUUUACAUGUGUUUUUGGUAUUAGAAAAUUUAAAGAUUUCAUUAAGUUUUGGUUUAAACUUACAAAUUUUAUUUUAUCUCUCUCUUGUAAUCUGAGAAUCUAAACUUUGUUUUAUCUUUAUGAGAAAUUUGGAUUGGGCAUAACAUAAUAAAAUGUGACAUUCAAAAUUGAACCUAGUCAUCAACAAAGAUCUACUCAGGCAAGAUAUAUGGUAGAUACUUGUGUCUGGUUUGAGUAACAAUUACACACUUCAACUGCAAAGGGUUGUAACGAUAGGAAAAUUUUGAAUUGAAUAAUAAAAAAAUUGAACAUUAUUCAACUCAUUCCUCUACGAAAUAGUAGAUAAUUAAGUUGAACAAAUUUCCUUUGUAAUUAGUUUAUU
rnacentral:sRNA from 1 species